GAUUUCCUUAGAAGCAAUCAACAGGUGUGGUUCUUUCUAUCACUUGUUGCUGUUUUAAUGCAUUUAAAACCUGAACAUGCUUAAAUCUACCUACAUUUCUGCUCUUAUCAAUAUUUGCCCCAUAGGUCAUGGGCUUUUCCUUUUUAACAAUGCCUUGUCUGUCAAGGUAAUAGCAUAGGCAAUGCCUGAACCUAAUGCCAUGGUGAAUAUUACCUAGGACAUAUGCUAUACAAAUUCAGCAGUAUAUUACCUAGGAGAUAUGGUAAUAUAAUGCUGGACAGUGGACAUGCUUACAGAAGUUUUUGAGUUCCAUGUCAUAUUUCAUUUAAUGCUAAUUGCACAGUAUCUUAAUGAUGCUACUUCAUUUAUGCGCCUAAUUGCUUCGCUGAAUUUGUAUGAUGACAUCAAAUCUUUUUUUUUUUCUUUCUUUCU
rnacentral:misc_RNA from 1 species